rnacentral:lncRNA from 1 species
GGAAGAAGAGGGAAGUCAGGGUCUGAGGCAUUUUGCCAUGAAUGAGGAAAGAGAAGGUGUAGUAGUUGGAAGGGCAGAGUGGAGCCAGUGGUAGACUUUGAACAUAAUGGAAAUGUGAAGAAUUCAACUGGGGGGAAAGAAAGUCUCUCAAAGUGCCUCACUGUUGUGGUUUCAAUUGUUUUUCUCAUUUCUGACCCACUGCCUUGCCUUGACCCCUUGUAUCUGUGUAUUCCAGGUUGCUGACUGGUCACUAACCCGUAGUUUUCUCACAAUGCUCUCAUGUUCUCCACUGUCCUCAUGCCUCAUUGCUCCCCAUGGCGUCAGCCCAGCCCUGACCAGUCAAAGAGCUUGGGAAGGGUCUGGAGAUGAUGGUAAGAGGCCCAAAGAAUAAGGCCCUGCUAUGGAGUCUGGCUGCAGAUCCAGAAGCUGGAGGCUGCUGCCGAUGGAGAGAGCUGCAGCCUUGCAGUGGGAGCAACUCCCUAGGUGGGGUUGUCUGUGGAUGGUGAGCAAAGGGGCGAAAGUUCAAAGGGUGGAGCAGAAGCCAGUGCGUCCUGGAGCAGGGGCAGGGUGGCUGCAGUAAUUGUGUUAGGUCUCCAGUUCCGGUUUAUGAAUUAAGAGGUGAAAUGGAGAGGCACUCUACAAUGUUCCCUCUGCCGUACAGCCUCCCAGUUGGUCUCUCCCACUCUACACUCUCCCUCUCCGUCUAUCACACAUACUGCUGACUGACUCAUUUUAAAAUACAUCUUUAUGUCACAGCCCUGCUCAGAACUUCCAAUAUUCUACUCCUAAGUCUAAAUUCCUUAAGCUGAAUUUAAGGUUCUUAAUGAUUUUACUCUCCCCUAUCAAUUCAGGUUCCACCAGGUGUGUGCCACUAUCUACCACCUGCUCAUCCAGCUGAAAGCCUUGCACUCCUGUGCCUCUGGUUUGGGAGCCCUUUCCUCUCACAGAUCUGUCACCUACUCAUCCACAAGACACACAGUAUCAUGCAAGGCAGAGAGUAUAAAUGGUGAACAAAACUGUCAGAGUCCUUGCCCAGGGGAGCUGGAAGGGAAUAGAGGUAAGGAACAGUAUGAAAAGCAGGUUAAGAAAUCAAUGGAGAAGGAACCAGCAAAGAAGAAACCUAUUGACAAGAAAAUUUUAAAUAGAUUGAUGUCCUCUUCCGUCAAUUUCAUGGACACCUUGCUGACAGCAGGCUUCAGAGACUGCCUCCUCCUGUUUUUGACAGCUGUAAUCUUACUGUUCAUCUUAUCUCACUGAUGUCAUUCAUAGUGAAUUUGGG